AGAAAGAAAAAAAAAUCUGAAUUUUUUAGAAUUUUAAAAAAAAAUUUCUGAUUUUUUUUCAUAUUUUUAUUGCCCAAAAAAUGCCAGCCGUAGGAUUGGAUUCGGAUAUGCUGAUCGGAGGGCUGGGGGCGCGACACGUAGCAUCUAGCCAUUGGAGCUGGCAUCGCGCUGACGUCAGCGUGCGCUGGUUCAAAUUUUUUAGCGCCCGCGGGCUGAAGCUCGGGCUCGACUUGCCUUUGGGCUGACCCGAGUUGGUGGGUCCCACAAGCCCCCCAAGCUUGGGCUAGCCGCUGGAACGAAAUUUUUUUUUUUUCUCCCCUCGCCUUGGGCUCGGCUGGCCCGUUGGACUUGCUCUUAGGUGCUAGACUCUCUCUCUCUUUCUCUCUCACGUCGCAGAGCCCUCUUUUUCCUUCACUCCUAUAUUAUAUCAUGUCCCAGGCCCAGAUUUACUCUGAAACUUGUUAGUAAUAGGAAAAACAUGUAAAGGGUUCUUUUUCCUCUUCAAUCCGUUUUUAAUUAGGCCGGUCAAUUCUGGGUUCUGUGCCAAUGUAGUGAUUUUGGAUUCUAACCCUUGUUAUAAAAUGACCUGAAAUAUGUAUGAAUAUUGAGCUGCACGUAAAGUAGAUGAGACACAGCAUUUAACGAGGUUCGGCUAUGCCUACGUCCUCAGAGAGCAGCAGCAGUAACUUUUCACUAUAUAAAAUAAUAUGGCUACAACUUUAGUGUUUACAACAUGUGUGGCUCACUGAAUUCUCUCUAGGAGAAUUUCUCUCUACUCUCUCUCUCUCUUCACUCAUUCACCCUCUUUCUUCCUUCUCUUCCUCUUGUCUCUUUCCUUUUCUCUCUUUCCUCUUUUCUCUUCUCUCUCUUAUUUGUUUCCUCUUCUCUCUUUCCUCUCUUCUCUCUUUCCUCUUCUUUGUUUCUUUCCGUUUCCUUUUUUUCUUUGCAGGCAGGAGGAUUGCCUAUUUAUAGGAAUGAUAAAUGGCACCCGUGAUGUUUCUAUCCAAUCAUCUUCACUAUUCACUAUUCACCCGUGAAUAAACUCAUGCACCAAAGUCUACAAACAAAUAGUAAGUGGGCUCCACUACUUUAUACUUUACAACACUCCCCCUUGGAGACCACAUGUCCCUAGAUUGGUUGCCUCAUUAAAAUAUUGCUUGGAGAAAACCUAGUAAGGUAGAGAACUGAUGGAAGGAAGAAAGAAGAGUACAACAAUCUGUAUAGCAUACUUCUGGAUGCUCCCCCUGAUUAAUAUCUCCCCCUGAUGUCUUCAUGACUAUCUUUUGGAGUGAGAAUCUUUCGGAGUGAGUGGAGGAUGUAGCCAUUAACAAUUCUCGUAGUUGAGUAAGUAAAUAUAUUUCCAGUGAGCUAUCUCUAUGUAAAUCAUAGAAAUUUUCAAAGUCCGCAUUUCCAACAAAACUUGGGCUAUUUGUAAGUUCCCUUGAAAGAAUAUGCCCGUACAAGGUGUUAUGCGGAGAUAGCAUCAAAUAUACCUCACAUCAUUCCAAAAUGAUGGUGAUGGAGUUGAGCCCUAUCUGGAAAAUAUGAUGUCCGGUCAAAUAUACUUCCGGAAAAUCAUUAAAGUGUCCAACGGAUAAUCCUCAUAAAAAUGCUUCAAUACUUUCUUAGUAUAAGCAAGAAUCUCGUUGGCAUAAUGCUCGAUCCUUAAGUCGAGACAAAUAUUUCUUGAACUCUUGAGAAGCUUUAAUGUGUUGCAAACACAUUAUAAUCAAUAUACUCACUGAUGUAAUUUAUGUACAUUAAUAUUGAGUACAAAUUUUGUGCUUCAGGCACAUGUCAUUCAGGGACUUGCUUCAUGCAAUUUCAAUCCUUUCAAGGAUUUUGUUUAAAGGGAUUAAACUUUAUGACACAUUAUAUAGCUUUAACCCAGCUAUUUAUACAUCUUUAGGGAAUCACUUCAGGUGGUAUGCUCUGUGCAUUUAAUAACCCUUAAGGAUAACAUGUUGGUCUCCGUAAAUGUGCAAUAAAGGGGCACAAUUGAAUCUAUAAAUAUGGAGAAAACCCAACAUUCCUUGUUUCUGCCAGAAACAUUGUGUCAUGCAAAGUAGGUAUAUUCCCUUUUAUUCCGAACACCCAAGUAUAACAUUCAGUAUUAACAAAUUUUGGGGUUCGUACUGUGGGUUGUUCCUUCACGUUCAUUCUUAUCUAUAAUGGAAUUACCUCAUUCCAUUUUGGCCAAUGAUAUUGUCGACAUUUAAUAAUUGAACGUGGUUCCAAUCAACACAGCCCAUUGAUGAUUUGAGUAGCUACUCCAAAAUCAAAAUUUGUCAUUCAUCAAUUUAUGAUCCCACCAUUCUCAUUUGCAUGCGCAUACAUCAAUUAUAAGCAUUUCUUUGCUUUUGGGUACCCAAGCCACUGCAGGGGGCUUUUAUUAUGUGAGAAUGUGGAUUAUAACCUCCAAUGGAGCGUUAUUUUAUAGUAGGGCGUGGAUAAUCUCCAUUUAGGGAGUUGAAACAUUUAGAACCCAUAUAUCUGUCAUGCUGCAGGCAUGCCACAGAUUAAUACAUACAUGUCAAUUAAUUUAUGGGACUUUAACCCAUACAAUUUGCUACGCAUUAGGCGUGCACAAUAUCAAUAUUGACAUGUCAAAGGAUUGUCCUUUCGGGACUUCAAUCCACAUCAUCUGCUACGCAACAGGCGUGCAUCAUAUUGAUCACUGCUAUACCCAUAUUAUGUUCUUAUGGGACUUUAAUCUGUGCAGUGUAUUAUCAAUGUAUCCAACUUGUAAUCUGUAAAAUUUGCGUUAAUAAUUCAUGGAUACAUACAAGCCAUUCUUUUGGAACGGACUUAUCUCCCCAUUUGGUUACCUUUCAAGAUAAAAUAUCAAAUAGGUAUAUAAGCAUAAAAUAACACAAGUAUUGCUUACAUCCUUAGGUGGGAGAAACUUUUCUCAAGUAUCAUUCAAGCUCAUAUCGGCCCAGUAAAUAUAAUGUAGCGCUUGAUGAUCUAGUUAUAUCCUGCAAGAGCAAAAAUCAUAACUCUUUUGCCUCUGUCAAAAAAAAUAACCCUCAUAGUUAGGAUUACUUCAUGGAUUCAUUCUUCAGAUGUUCAUUCUAAAGAAAUAAAAUCUCUUAUGAACAGAGAGUUAUAAAAAGAGAAAAAAUGCAAAAAUAAUGUGAUAUUGAUUGCAAGAGAAGGUAAGCAAUCAAGGAAGGAAGCUGGUGGGAGCAGACAAUAAGCUCUCAUAUCUCCUAGUCUAGAAGGACUUCCGGAGAUUAGAGCAUAAGAUCGCCUUCUCAGUUUCCUGAUGUAGUGGAAACGUGAUCAGGGAUAGUCUUGCUUCCUGAAUGGAUGAUCAGAGAUAGUCUUGCUUCUCGGGCAUAUUGAGUGCUCACUGAUAAGAAAAAUAAGUAGAUAUCGCAUCACUAGGUAUGGAGUAAACUGGAUGUCUUCUGCAAAGAAAAUUUCGUUAGUAACACAUUUAUACACAAAUACAAUGAAUAGAUAGAACCGGUGAAUUUCAAAUUAACCAUAGGAAAAUUGCGAGAUUCUCGGGAUACUUUUGAAAAAGUAGCUCCGUGAAAUCCGUAAAGCAAGAUCGGCUUUGACGAAAAUAAUACUUGAAAACGCCGAAAGUGCCGACAGGCAUUAUUAGAGGCCACGUGAAGUUUUGGACUCUGGGAAAGAAAAAGAUAAUAUGGGGAUUCAAGAAGAUAUUGGAAUCCUGAAGAUAUUGCCAUAUUUUCGUCUAUAGAUAUUGCCUUUGCAAAACUUGAUUGGAGCAAUUGCGUUUCAACUUAACUUCCUUCAUUUUCUGAAACUUUAGUUUUCCUAAGGCUUUCUUCGAAACCUUCUUAAAAAUGGCUUCCUCUUCUUCCUGCCCAAAUUAUUUCAAUUUAAAUGAUGCUCCCACAACAACUAGUGACGCCAAAGUUUGGCGUCCAUCCUUUGUAUCCUAAAAUCGUCAUCUCACAGUUAAUGAUUCUGUGAUGAUGAAUGAUGCUACUGCUGUCAUAGUAGCUAGGAAUUUCAUUACUCCAAUGGAUGAAAUGCUGUUAACAGGGAGGUCUGAGGAAGAGGCUAUUGAUGACUCAAUGGCUUUUAGCAUUCAGAGUGCUGCUUCUGUUUCUAACAUGGCUGAUCGUUUGCGUGCUAGAGCAAACGAGGUUGAGAGGUUAACAACUGAAAAUUCGUCUCUCCAAAGAAUGCUUCAUGAGUCUCAACAGGAGGUUGAGAAACUUAAAGGAGAGAAUAAUGUCUUGUUGAAACUGGUGAGUUCGUACUCUGUUGAUACACUGAGAAGGCUAGACAUGCUGCAGGUCUCCAAUGAAAGAAUUUUGGGAGACCACGAGAAGCUCAUGGCUAAGCUUAAGAGGCGCCGUCCUCUUCCUUCAGAGGCUUCCAGAACAUAAUGUAAUUUUAUAGAUUUUACAGGGCCUGCACCUUCAUUGCAGGUGGAAAAAAUCUAUCUGUUAUAUGCUCCUUUCCUAUUAUAAUAAUUGCGCACAUUCUUAAACUUACACCUGUGGUUUUUACGUCUUUUCAAAAUGACGGUUUGGAACCUUGUGCCUUAUAGGUUCAAAUAACCACAUUGUCUCUCCCAAAUUUCAUAUUUUAUCGCAUGGUAGCCUGGAACUUUUGGCCUGAGCUAAACACAAACUCAGAAUUUAUUUGCCCUUUUCAAAUGGACAUGAAAUAUGAAUUGAGUAAAAGCCACGAUAAUAUCGCAAUAUAGUAGUGAAGAGCAUUAACUACUAUAUACCCACAACUUCAAGUUCAGGAUCUCUCAUAUAUUUGGAUCCAUGGGCCUCCGGCCCAGAUAUAACAAAGUAUGUGGGGAGCCUCAAUUCAUUAUUUGAGGUUUAUAUUAAUAUUAUCCAUUUCGCGGUGUAUUCUUAACAACCGGAAUUCACAAAAUAUAUUUCUUCCUUGAGGUGUCGAUUAUAACAAAAUCGAACUUUAUUAAAUUCAUCAUCUUCUUAUGCCAAAGAAAUAUGUGGCAUACCACAAUUUGCAAUAAUACCUCAAGGGUUGUCCAUUUAAUUGUUGGAACUUCAGGUUCUCAACACUGUUAAAUUUUGAACUUCAGGCCAAAGCCACAUAUUCUCAUGGUAUGGACAUUUUUACAAUUUUCUGUACAUAUUUCGGGACUUCAAGCCCUUACAUAAUUGUCCAUAUUUUGAGGAACUUCUGGCAUCUCAUUUAAUUGCUCAUCCAUGAGUUUAAGGAACUGCAGGUUCCUUUUUGUAUAUAGUGACGGUUUACCCAAAAUGGUUAAUAUUUAUGCAUACGUCACUAUUCAUGUGAAUAGUACUAUUCAUCAAGUCAUGAAUACGUAUCUAUUCAUGUGUACAGUACAUCUGCCAGUACAGUUAUCAUCCAUGUGUACGGCACUAUGAACCAAUACGGUACUGUUACAUCAUUAAGGAACUCUAGGUCCUUAUUUACAUGUCAGGGAUCAAGGACCCUUAAGUCCAAUCACAUGUUUACAAAUACAGUACCGGAGAGACUGCCAGCUCUCAUAUUAAUAUCAUCAUCAAGGAUCUUCAAGUCCUGAUGUAAUUGUAUGAUGAGGAUCAAAGAACUUCUGGUCUUGAUCUGCAUACUGUAAAAACUCACCAUACAGCACAAUUAAUCCAUAAAAUAAAUUGCUGAUAAAUAAAUUACUGGUAUGGACGAUAAACCCGCACCAUACUUUAAAUAAAUGUAAAUGUGCGGUAAAAUAAAUUCAUAAAUUAAAUUGCUUGCUGUAUGGACGUUAAUCCCGCACCAUACCUUAAAUAAAAUUAAAUGUGCGGAAAGUAAAUGUGCUUGUAUGGGCACUAAUUCUGCUCCAUACAUUUAAAUAAAAGUAAAGACAUGGGCGAUAAACCCGCGCCACCCUUUUAAAUAAAUACUGUCGUAUGGGUAAUAAUCCUACACCAUACAGUAAACAAAAUAAAUGUGGGGAUAAAAACCUCCACCUAAUAUAUAUGAAGUGCAUAAUAUAUUAUAUAGUGUGGGCAAUAUAACUGCGCCACUAUUCAAGAUAUAAUAGAUGGGUUUUAAGAUCACACCAUCAUUUUAUUACAAUAAUUUGUAUUACAACGCGAUGGGUAAAAAUUACACCACCAUAAAAUAACAGGACUGAUUAAACAAUAUAGAAAUUACAAAUUACGUUACAAAGAAGUAAAUUAAACAAGCAUGGAUUAAACAACAUAGAAAUUGUGAGAACAUAAAAAAGAAAGUUUGCAUGUCGUUGUAGUAGUAAAGUGAGAGUAGACAUAUGACAGAGAGGAGACAGAGAAGUAACCACAUAGUGUUGAGUUGAAAAAUUUCAGAAAUAAAAGGAGAGACUAUCGUGCUGAUAACGUGUUAUAAAAUGACCUGAAAUAUGUAUGAAUAUUGAGCUGCACGUAAAGUAGAUGAGACACAGCAUUUAACGAGGUUCGGCUAUGCCUACGUCCUCGGAGAGCAGCAGCAGUAACUUUUCACUAUAUAAAAUAAUAUGGCUACAACUUUAGUGUUUACAACAUGUGUGGCUCACUGAAUUCUCUCUAGGAGAAUUUCUCUCUGCUCUCUCUCUCUCUUCACUCAUUCACCCUCUUUCUUCCUUC
rnacentral:lncRNA from 1 species